CCUACGGGGGACAGCAGUGAGGAAUAUUGGUCAAUGGACGAGAGUCUGAACCAGCCAAGUAGCGUGAAGGAUGACUGCCCUACGGGUUGUACACUUCUUUUAUAAAGGAAUAAAACGAGGCACGUGUGCCUUUUUGUAUGUACUUUAUGAAUAAGGAUCGGCUAACUCCGUGCCAGCAGCCGCGGUAAUACGGAGGAUCCGAGCGUUAUCCGGAUUUAUUGGGUUUAAAGGGAGCGUAGAUGGGUUGUUAAGUCAGUUGUGAAAGUUUGCGGCUCAACCGUAAAAUUGCAAUUGAUACUGGCAGUCUUGAGUACAGUUGAGGUAGGCGGAAUUCGUGGUGUAGCGGUGAAAUGCUUAGAUAUCACGAAGAACCCCGAUUGCGAAGGCAGCUUACUAAACUGUGACUGACAUUGAUGCUCGAAAGUGUGGGUAUCAAACAGGAUUAGAUACCCCUGUAGUC
rnacentral:rRNA from 1 species